GGCAGUUAGUUCAGUUGGUUAGAGCAUGGUGCUGAUAAGGCCAGGUUGUGGGUUCGAUCCCUGUACAGACCA